CGGAAUCUGCCUAUUUGUGGGGGAUAACGUAGGGAGACUUACGCUAAUACCGCAUACGACCUACGGGUGAAAGCGGAGGACCUUCGGGCUUCGCGCAGAUAGAUGAGCCGAUGUCGGAUUAGCUAGUUGGCGGGGUAAAGGCCCACCAAGGCGACGAUCCGUAGCUGGUCUGAGAGGAUGAUCAGCCACACUGGAACUGAGACACGGUCCAGACUCCUACGGGAGGCAGCAGUGGGGAAUAUUGGACAAUGGGCGCAAGCCUGAUCCAGCCAUGCCGCGUGGGUGAAGAAGGCCUUCGGGUUGUAAAGCCCUUUUGUUGGGAAAGAAAAGCAGUCGGUUAAUACCCGAUUGUUCUGACGGUACCCAAAGAAUAAGCACCGGCUAACUUCGUGCCAGCAGCCGCGGUAAUACGAAGGGUGCAAGCGUUACUCGGAAUUACUGGGCGUAAAGCGUGCGUAGGUGGUUUGUUAAGUCUGAUGUGAAAGCCCUGGGCUCAACCUGGGAAUUGCAUUGGAUACUGGCAGGCUAGAGUGCGGUAGAGGGUAGUGGAAUUCCCGGU
rnacentral:rRNA from 1 species